rnacentral:rRNA from 1 species
CGACGCAGCAACGCCGCGUGGGUGAUGAAGGCCCUCGGGUCGUAAAGCCCUGUCAGGUGGGAAGAAGGGGGCGGAGUCAAAGAGGGCUGUGCCUGUGACGGUACCACCAGAGGAAGCACCGGCUAACUCCGUGCCAGCAGCCGCGGUAAUACGGAGGGUGCGAGCGUUAUUCGGAAUUACUGGGCGUAAAGAGCGUGCAGGCGGCUGGGUCGGUCUGAUGUGAAAGCCCGGGGCUCAACCCCGGAAGGGCAUUGGAAACAGCCCGGCUUGAGUACCGGAGAGGAAGGGGGAAUUCCCGGUGUAGCGGUGAAAUGCGUAGAGAUCGGGAGGAAUACCAGUGGCGAAGGCGCCCUUCUGGACGGAUACUGACGCUCAGACGCGAAAGCGUGGGGAGCAAACAGGAUUAGAUACCCUGGUAGUCCACGCUGUAAACGAUGAACACCAGGUGUGGCGGGUAUUGACUCCCGCCGUGCCACAGCUAACGCGUUAAGUGUUCCGCCUGAGGAGUACGGUCGCAAGACUA